GCCAAAAAGGAUGGGUUUUAUGUCAAUCUUUCGGUAAUUGAAGUGUUCGUUUUUUCCAGGGGCUGGGGGGUGUGUUUUUUUUUUGAGUUAGCCUAACUCUUGGUGAUCAUUUUAGCUAUUAACAAGUAUUCUCGGAAGACUGAACUAACAUUUUGUGGUUACAGGGAAAGUUUUAAGCACGUAAAAGUUCUGUUUUAAGAAAUUUGAGGAAAUAGAAAUAUGUUAUUUCUUAAAUUUUAAAAAACUUAAAAUGAUCUUGUAAUCUUGUUUACUGUUCAAAGAU
rnacentral:lncRNA from 1 species